GACGAACGCUGGCGGCGUGCCUAAUACAUGCAAGUAGAACGCACAGUUUAUACCGUAGCUUGCUACACCAUAGACUGUGAGUUGCGAACGGGUGAGUAACGCGUAGGUAACCUGACUGGUAGCGGGGGAUAACUAUUGGAAACGAUAGCUAAUACCGCAUAAUAUUAAUUAUUGCAUGAUAAUUAAUUGAAAGGUGCAAUUGCACCACUACCAGAUGGACCUGCGUUGUAUUAGCUAGUAGGUGAGGUAACGGCUCACCUAGGCGACGAUACAUAGCCGACCUGAGAGGGGGAUCGGCCACACUGGGACUGAGACACGGCCCAGACUCCUACGGGAGGCAGCAGUAGGGAAUCUGCGGCAAUGGACGAAAGUCUGACCGAGCAACGCCGCGUGAGGGAAGAAGGUUUUCGGAUCGUAAAGCUCUGUUGUAAGAGAAGAACGGGUGUGAGAGUGGAAAGUUCACACUGUGACGGUAGCUUACCAGAAAGGGACGGCUAACUACGUG
rnacentral:rRNA from 1 species